rnacentral:lncRNA from 1 species
AUUGUACUUUGUGCCUUUCAAGCCUGGCACAGAAGAGAGGCGGAAAGUCAUUGCGUUAGAGGGUAAGCUGUGUUUGGUUUAGCGCUGCACGCUUUUCUGAAGCUCUUUCAGAGUUACAGAUUUUUGAGGCGGACUUCUAGGUCCUUUAUCUAUGGGACACACCGCGGUGAUAAAGGCAAACGAAAGGGAAUGAAUCCGAGAGAACUGAGCUGUCAAAAACAAUGUGCAAGCGCUGCCCAGGGAAGGGAAGAACUCGCGAGAAUUAGCCGCACCCAGCACCACGAAGCAAACCCACGCUGGGCCUCCCGCCUUCGCGGUCCCCGGGCGCGAACCCGGCUGCGCUUGCGCGCGGAAUGCCUGCGCUAGGAGCCAGGAGCCGCGCGGACGCAGCUGGGAGUCACAUGGGGUGGCGGACAAUCGCUCCGCCUCUCCGCAGCGGCCCCGCCCCGCCCCGCCCCUUUCCCGGCGGGACGCUCGGAGUCGACCCGAGCUGCGCAGGGCGGUCAGGGGUGAGUGUCCGCGAGGGGCGUGCGUCGCGCAGAGCCGGACGGGCCUGGGUUGGGGCGCGGGCAGGAAGAACGCGUUGUGGGGGCCAAGGGGACAAAAUGGCGGCGGGGAGUCACACCCCAUGGGUUUAUGUGAUAAAUGAGCUUCUUGGCAUAGAAGGAAAUUAAAAAAUGAUGGCUUCAUUCCAGCGCUCCAAUAGUCAUGACAAAGUAAGGAGAAUAGUUGCAGAGGAGGGUCGUACAGCAAGAAACCUAAUAGCCUGGAGUGUUCCCCUCGAAAGCAAAGAUGAUGAUGGAAAAUCUAAAUGUCAAACUGGUGGAAAGUCAAAGAGGACAAUUCAAGGUACUCAUAAAACUACAAAACAGGUACAGCAUGAACAACUUCUACUUUUUUGCUUUUGAUUUUAGUUAUAAAAUAUAAUUUUUCAGAAUUUGAAUAUAUUUUAUCUUCAUGUAAAAAUGUAACAUUUAUUUAACAAAUGUGUAUAUCAUAUUAUGUGCUCAACUUGUACUAAAUAUAGAUAUUAAUUUGCUUCUUAUAACAACUCUUUGAUGUAAACAUUAUUAUUAAUCAUCAUUUACAAAUGAGGAAACUGAGGUAGAGAGAAGUUAUGUAACUUACUAGUGAGUGGCACAGCCAGAUUGGAACCCAUGCGUAUAUUUCUACAGUUUAUGAUCUUAACUUCUGUCCCACAUAUCUCACAUUUGUGAGUUCUUCUAUGAUUUAUCUUGGUAUAAUGAUGCCUAAUUUUAGUUAUAGGAUAAUAAUAUAUUGACUCUAAAAAUUUUCAAAUUGCUUUGGUAAAAUUUUAGAGAACAUAAGCCUACCUUAUGUUAAAAAAUGUUUUAGCAUAUUUAUAGUUAGCUUUUAAUCUUUGGUUAUUUUUCUCUGAACUUUUCAUAUAUAUCAUUUUAGUUUGAGUUAUUAAAUAUACCACUAUAUAUUAUUAUGUAAACCAAAAAUUAUGCAUAAGGAAAACAUGGACUUCUAAUUGAGACGGCAUUAUGAGUCUGUAAAAUAUCCUCCACUUCUUACACACAGAGGCAUCAGUGAUAACAUUUAAACAAAAA